UGGGGAAUAUUGCACAAUGGGCGAAAGCCUGAUGCAGCAACGCCGCGUGAGUGAUGAAGGCCUUCGGGUUGUAAAGCUCUGUCUUCUGGGACGAUAAUGACGGUACCAGAGGAGGAAGCCACGGCUAACUACGUGCCAGCAGCCGCGGUAAUACGUAGGUGGCAAGCGUUGUCCGGAUUUACUGGGCGUAAAGGAUGCGUAGGCGGAUACUUAAGUCAGGUGUGAAAAUCCCGGGCUUAACUUGGGAACUGCAUUUGAAACUGGGUAUCUAGAGUGCAGGAGAGGAAAGUGGAAUUCCUAGUGUAGCGGUGAAAUGCGUAGAGAUUAGGAAGAACACCAGUGGCGAAGGCGACUUUCUGGACCGUAACUGACGCUGAGGCAUGAAAGCGUGGGGAGCAAACA
rnacentral:rRNA from 1 species